rnacentral:rRNA from 1 species
GACGAACGCUGGCGGCGUGCUUAACACAUGCAAGUCGAGCGGAAAGGCCCUGCUUUUGUGGGGUGCUCGAGUGGCGAACGGGUGAGUAACACGUGCGUAACCUGCCCUUGACUUUGGGAUAACUUCAGGAAACUGGGGCUAAUACCGGAUAGGAGCUCCUGCUGCAUGGUGGGGGUUGGAAAGUUUCGGCGGUUGUGGCUGGAUUCGCGGCUUAUCCGCUUGUUUGUGAGGUAGUGGCUUACCAGGGCUUUGACGGGUAGGCGACCUGAGAGGGCGACCGGCGACAAGGGGACUGCGAGACGGAGCAGACGGGUACGGGACGCAGCAGGGGGGAACAUUGCGCAACGGGGGCGAGCGUGAGGCAGCGGCGCCGCGAGCGGGAUGACCGCCUACUAGGGGAAAACCACUGUCGAAGUUGACGAAGCCGUAGUGACGGUAAUUGAUAAGAAAGCACCGGCUAACUACGUG